GACGAACGCUGGCGGCAUGCCUAAUACAUGCAAGUCGAGCGAACAGGUGAAGUGCUUGCACUUCUGACGUUAGCGGCGAACGGGUGAGUAACACGUAAGGAAUCUACCUAUAAGCGGGGGAUAACAUUCGGAAACGGGUGCUAAUACCGCAUAAUAUCUUCUUCCGCAUGGAAGAAGAUUGAAAGACGGCUCUGCUGUCACUUAUAGAUGACCUUGCGGUGCAUUAGUUAGUUGGUGGGGUAAUGGCCUACCAAGACGAUGAUGCAUAGCCGACCUGAGAGGGUGAUCGGUCACAUUGGGACUGAGACACGGCCCAAACUCCUACGGGAGGCAGCAGUAGGGAAUCUUCCGCAAUGGGCGAAAGCCUGACGGAGCAAUGCCGCGUGAGUGAAGAAGGCCUUCGGGUCGUAAAACUCUGUUAUAAGAGAAGAACAAAUUGUAGAGUAACUGCUACAGUCUUGACGGUAUCUUAUCAGAAAGCCACGGCUAACUACGUGCCAGCAGCCGCCGUAA
rnacentral:rRNA from 1 species